GACGAACGCUGGCGGCGUGCCUAAUACAUGCAAGUAGAACGCUGAAGGAGGAGCUUGCUUCUCUGGAUGAGUUGCGAACGGGUGAGUAACGCGUAGGUAACCUGCCUGGUAGCGGGGGAUAACUAUUGGAAACGAUAGCUAAUACCGCAUAAGAGUAGAUGUUGCAUGACAUUUGCUUAAAAGGUGCAAUUGCAUCACUACCAGAUGGACCUGCGUUGUAUUAGCUAGUUGGUGGGGUAACGGCUCACCAAGGCGACGAUACAUAGCCGACCUGAGAGGGUGGUCGGCCACACUGGGACUGAGACACGGCCCAGACUCCUACGGGAGGCAGCAGUAGGGAUUCUUCGGCAAUGGACGGAAGUCUGACCGAGCAACGCCGCGUGAGUGAAGAAGGUUUUCGGAUCGUAAAGCUCUGUUGUAAGAGAAGAACGAGUGUGAGAGUGGAAAGUUCACACUGUGACGGUAUCUUACCAGAAAGGGACGGCUAACUACGUG
rnacentral:rRNA from 1 species